AAUGGGCGAAAGCCUGAUGCAGCGACGCCGCGUGAGGGACGACGGCCUUCGGGUUGUAAACCUCUUUUAGCAGGGAAGAAGCGCAAGUGACGGUACCUGCAGAAGAAGCACCGGCCAACUACGUGCCAGCAGCCGCGGUAAUACGUAGGGUGCGAGCGUUGUCCGGAAUUAUUGGGCGUAAAGAGCUUGUAGGCGGUUUGUUGCGUCUGCAGUGAAAAUCCGGGGCUCAACUCCGGACUUGCUGUGGGUACGGGCAGACUAGAGUGUGGUAGGGGAGACUGGAAUUCCUGGUGUAGCGGUGGAAUGCGCAGAUAUCAGGAGGAACACCGAUGGCGAAGGCAGGUCUCUGGGCCAUAACUGACGCUGAGAAGCGAAAGCAUGGGGAGCGAA
rnacentral:rRNA from 1 species